rnacentral:lncRNA from 1 species
AAUUUAUUUUGGUCAUUUUUUUUUUUGAAGUCUAUUUUAGUGAAAAUAAACUAAAAAAAAAAUCUAUUUAGGAGAAUUUCCCAUAUCAUCAAAAUAUAUAUAGGACCAUUAUUGUUUUUCUUUUUUUUGACAUCACCAAAUCCGUACUUAUGAAUGCUAAAUAUAAAUAAUAAUAUGAUUAGAAUUAAUAUAAGAGAUAAUUGGUGUCUAUGCCCU